rnacentral:lncRNA from 1 species
CCCAUAUAAGAUAGAAAAUACUCCUUUUAAAGAACUAAAAAUGAAAAGCGAAACUAUGUGAAGGAUGGCACGUGCUUGGAGUGCUCAGGAGAAAGAGAAGCACGGUCCCAGAGGAAGUGGAGGGAUGAGGCACCCACCUGUGUGCCCAGAGAAGCUUCCUGGGAGUGGACUGACAGCUGGUAGGUCUUCAGACAACAGCAUAAAAUCCAUGUGA